rnacentral:tRNA from 1 species
GCGGGGGUUGCCAAGCUAGGUCAAAGGCGAUAGGUUCAGGGCCUAUUCUCGUAGGAGUUCGUGCGUUCAAAUCGCACCCCCCGCA